GUUUGUUUAGUACAGCAUUACAGUACACCGGACUUUCAAACCGGAGACACUAGCCACGUAACCAACUACGAAAC
rnacentral:tRNA from 1 species